AAAAAAAAAAAAAAAAAUUAAAAUUAAAAAAAAAAAAAAAACACGCAACAAAAAACGGCCGCCUCGUCAAACGCGAGCCGCCGCCGCCGCCGCCGCCGCCGUGUGCCGCCGACACUUUUUAUUUAUUCGUUUUUAUAUUCUCGUUCGGGCGCGUCCUGCCGCGGCUACUGUGUGCACGCAUUAAAAAAAAAAAAAAAAAAAAACACAUAAUACAAAUAACGACGAAAUAUAUUAUACGUGCUCGCGCGCGCGCUCGCUCGUUUUAUUUAUUGUGUAUAGUUUUUUUUUUUUCGU